GCCGCGUGUGUGAAAAGGUCUUCGGAUUGUAAAGCACUUUAAGUUGGGAGGAAGGGCAGUAAGUUAAUACCUUGCUGUUUUGACGUUACCGACAGAAUAAGCACCGGCUAACUCUGUGCCAGCAGCCGCGGUAAUACAGAGGGUGCAAGCGUUAAUCGGAAUUACUGGGCGUAAAGCGCGCGUAGGUGGUUCGUUAAGUUGGAUGUGAAAGCCCCGGGCUCAACCUGGGAACUGCAUCCAAAACUGGCGAGCUAGAGUAUGGUAGAGGGUGGUGGAAUUUCCUGUGUAGCGGUGAAAUGCGUAGAUAUAGGAAGGAACACCAGUGGCGAAGGCGACCACCUGGACUGAUACUGACACUGAGGUGCGAAAGCGUGGGGAGCAAACA
rnacentral:rRNA from 1 species